UACGUAGGGUGCGAGCGUUGUCCGGAAUUAUUGGGCGUAAAGGGCUCGUAGGCGGUUUGUCGCGUCGGGAGUGAAAUCCACUGGCUUAACUGGUGGCUUGCUUUCGAUACGGGCAGACUGGAGGUAUGCAGGGGAGAACGGAAUUCCUGGUGUAGCGGUGAAAAUGCGCAGAUAUCAGGAGGAACACCGGUGGCGAAGGCGGUUCUCUGGGCAUGUCCUGACGCUGAGGAGCGAAAGUGUGGGGGAGCGAACAGG
rnacentral:rRNA from 1 species